rnacentral:rRNA from 1 species
UACGGGGGGAGCAAGCGUUGUUCGGAUUUACUGGGCGUAAAGGGCGCGUAGGCGGCCCUCUAAGUCGGACGUGAAAUCCCUCGGCUCAACCGGGGAACUGCGUCCGAUACUGGAGGGCUUGAAUCCGGGAGAGGGAUGCGGAAUUCCAGGUGUAGCGGUGAAAUGCGUAGAUAUCUGGAGGAACACCGGUGGCGAAGGCGGCAUCCUGGACCGGUAUUGACGCUGAGGCGCGAAAGCCAGGGGAGCAAACGGG